CCAUGAGUCACAGCAGCUGGCUCAAGGCUGCGAGGGGAAGUAAAACACUAAAUCUAAGGACCACUCUAUUCACCCUACAGUGACUGCUCUUUUUCCCUCCUGCCACGGUCCAGGGUAGGAGAUACUUCUCCAGGCUCUCACUUAUGGGGGCUUUCCUGCUCGCUACAUCACUGAAAUGGAAUCUCCUAGUGGCCCUUCUCCCUCUACAGCUCUGGUGUUACACUGAAAAACUAGAAGUUUCAAAACAGACAAGGGAAAAAGAGAAACAUCAGAAAGUCUGAUUAAAGUAGAAGCAUCAUAUUUCAUAUUUCUAUCAACGUAUCCACUGUGCUUGGACACAAUUGCAGGCCCUUGACAUCUUUUGCCUGGGUUAUUGCAACAGCCUCCAGAAGGACUCGUCUGUCUCCAUGAUACCCCUCCAUCCUCCUCUGCAUCAUCACCAAGGGAAUCUUUGUAAAGCAAAGGCAUGAUCAUGCUUAUCACCUGGUGGAAACCCUUCAGAGACUCUCCACUCCCCAGAGCAGGCACCACAUCCUU
rnacentral:lncRNA from 1 species